rnacentral:rRNA from 1 species
AACGAACGCUGGCGGCGCGCCUAAUACAUGCAAGUCGAGCGAGAAGACGUAGCAAUACGUUUGUAAAGCGGCGAACGGGUGAGGAAUACAUGGGUAACCUACCCUCGAGUGGGGAAGUAACUAGCCGAAAGGUUAGCUAAUACCGCGUACGCUCCUUGGACUUCGGUUCAGGGAGGGAAAGACGAUACCGUGGGUAUCGCGCUCUUGGAUGGGCGUCAUGUCCUAUCAGCUUGUUGGUGAGGUAACGGCUCACCAAGGCUUCGACGGGUAGGCUGGUCUGAGAGGACAAUCAGCCACACUGGCACUGCGACACGGGCCAGACUCCUACGGGAGGCAGCAGUAAGGAAUAUUGCGCAAUGGGC